GAACACGCCGCGUGAGUGAUGAAGGCUUUCGGGUCGUAAAACUCUGUUGUUAGGGAAGAACAAGUACGAGAGUAACUGCUCGUACCUUGACGGUACCUAACCAGAAAGCCACGGCUAACUACGUGCCAGCAGCCGCGGUAAUACGUAGGUGGCAAGCGUUAUCCGGAAUUAUUGGGCGUAAAGCGCGCGCAGGCGGUUUCUUAAGUCNGAUGUGAAAGCCCACGGCUCAACCGUGGAGGGUCAUUGGAAACUGGGGAACUUGAGUGCAGAAGAGAAAAGCGGAAUUCCACGUGUAGCGGUGAAAUGCGUAGAGAUGUGGAGGAACACCAGUGGCGAAGGCGGCUUUUUGGUCUGUAACUGACGCUGAGGCGCGAAAGCGUGGGGAGCAAACAGGAUUAGAUACCCUGGUAGUCCGCGCCGUAAACGAUGAGUGCUAAGUGUUAGAGGGUUUCCGCCCUUUAGUGCUGCAGCUAACGCAUUAAGCACUCCGCCUGGGGAGUACGGUCGCAAGACUGAAACUCA
rnacentral:rRNA from 1 species